AUUUUUAUCAUUUAGGCAAAAAUCCGUCUGUAAAACAACAUAAACACAAAAUCACUUUCAGACAUUUGUAUAAACAUCGGUUCAGUUUUAUCUGAAGUUUAGUAAAUGAAUGAAGAUUACAGACAUAAAUAACGUUUUUUCCUUUUGUUGUUUUUAGGAGACUCUCUCGAUGACUUGAGAGGCGUCAGGAGGUUCAGAGAGGAUGGAGAACCGGGCCGUGGAGAAGAACCACAUGUCCUGUCAGACGUGGGUCGGCCAGAACGGCUGGGCCCCGCCUUCGUCUCAGGGACUCCUCCUCAACCCGCACGCUGGCUCCCAGCACCUGGGCCUGGGCCCCCCGGAUCAGGGCUCGCUGUUCGGCCCCCUGCAGGGCUCCGGUCCCGGCUGCAUGGGCGACAUGAGCGCGCUGGCGAGCGCGCAUCACGCCGCUCUGAAGCCCCUCCACAUGAGCGGCGUUCCAACGUCCAACUCGCUGUUCGACAACAUCACAAACCAGGGGGCGUCGCACCUGCUGUCCUUCGCUCAGCAGAUGGCGGACCCCUCGUCUCUGCUGGCGAAAUCUGCCCCCCCACUGACUCUCCCCCCACCAGACCACGAGCUGCCGCCCUGCAGGCCGCAGCAUCUGACCCAGCUCCCGCCCUCGGACCCCCGCAAAGCUUUCCACGCGCCGCUAGCCGGCCACGCUUUAGCUAACGGGCAUCAGGAUCUCGCCGUCAGCUUUUCGGCGUGCGGGCAGCACGCCAUCUCGGCUCCUUUUGGGGCGCAGGGCCUGGAAGCGGGGGGUGUUUCUGGAUUUACCCAAAGCUACGGGGCGUCUGCGGCUCAGGACCACCCCCCGUGGUCGUCUUCACUGCACGGCCGAGGAGUUUUGAACGAGUCCGUCCCAAAUGCCAGAGUUUGUCCCAACAGAAAUCCGACUGAAGAGGAGCCGGCCGCUCCCGUGGCCGGCGGCGACAAAAGCCGCUCCAGCCUUUUGCAGCAGCGCGCGCAGCUCCUCAAGCAGCUGGAAAACAUGAACAGACUGGUAAGUUCUCCAUUGAUUCUCCUGACGGAUGGAAGCUGCUCCUGUGCUUGACUCCCGUGUCCCUCCCGCUCAGCUGGAGUCGUUUCCUCCCGAGGAAGAGGAGGAGGAGGAUGAGGAGCAGCCUUCAAACACGCCGCCUCACGUAAGAUUCCUCUUUUCCCGAGUUCGAUCCCGUCAAAAGCAGAAACUCCUGACCGUCUUCUGCUGACAGGAAUCCUCCAGCGAGAAGACGGAGUCCAGCGGUGAAGCUCAGCGCUUUUCCCCGGAGGCAAAGGUUUUUAUCCGGCCGCCGCGUCCUGAAGGCGCCGCGCCGCUCAGCUGACCUCUGACCUUAUCUUAUGUUUAAAGCUGCGUCCUUCAGAGGAUUUCCCAACUUCAACCUGUGAGGAAGAAAACGGAGCUGAAGACGUUUCACCGCAUCCCGCCGAAGUACGUUUGAAUGUAUUUAAGCAUCAAUGUUCUCCUGAACGUCUGGCUCCACAAAUAUUCAGUCAGAAUCACAAUCUAAGAUCUAGAAGAU
rnacentral:lncRNA from 1 species